rnacentral:rRNA from 1 species
GCUCAGAACUUAAAGGAAUUGACGGGGCCCGCACAAGCGGUGGAGUAUGUGGUUAAUUCGAUGCAACGCGAAGAACCUUACCUGGUCUUGACAUCCCGGAGACCCUUAGGAAACUAGGGGGUGCUUCCAUCUGGAAGAAUCUGGAGACAGGUGCUGCAUGGCUGUCGUCAGCUCGUGUCGUGAGAUGUUGGGUUAAGUCCCGCAACGAGCGCAACCCUUGCCUUUAGUUGCCAGCAGUUCGGCUGGGCACUCUAAAGGGACUGCCGGUGUUAAACCGGAGGAAGGUGGGGAUGACGUCAAGUCCUCAUGGCCUUUAUGACCAGGGCUACACACGUACUACAAUGGCCGAUACAAAGGGCAGCGACACUGCGAGGUGAAGCCAAUCCCGUAAAAUCGGUCUCAGUCCGGAUUGGAGUCUGCAACUCGACUCCAUGAAGUUGGAAUCGCUAGUAAUCGUGGAUCAGCAUGCCACGGUGAAUACGUUCCCGGGCCUU